AUUGAACGCUGGCGGCAUGCCUUACACAUGCAAGUCGAACGGCAGCACGGGGCAACCUGGUGGCGAGUGGCGAACGGGUGAGUAAUGCAUCGGAACGUACCUUUCAGUGGGGGAUAACGUAGCGAAAGUUACGCUAAUACCGCAUAUUCUGUGAGCAGGAGAGCAGGGGAUCGCAAGACCUUGCGCUGAUUGAGCGGCCGAUGUCAGAUUGGCUAGUUGGUGAGGUAAAGGCUCACCAAGGCGACGAUCUGUAGCGGGUCUGAGAGGAUGAUCCGCCACACUGGAACUGAGACACGGUCCAGACUCCUACGGGAGGCAGCAGUGGGAAAUUUUGGACAAUGGGGGCAACCCUGAUCCAGCCAUGCCGCGUGAGUGAAGAAGGCCUUCGGGUUGUAAAGCUCUUUCGGCCGGGAAGAAAUCGCACGGGCUAAUACCCUGUGUGGAUGACGGUACCGGAAUAAGAAGCACCGGCUAACUACGUGCCAGCCGCCGCAGUAACAC
rnacentral:rRNA from 1 species